rnacentral:lncRNA from 10 species
ACUGCCCUGUGGGAGAGGCUAGUGGGAGGGUGGGCAAGGCCAGAGCGUGUCCUGCCUCCAUGUGGAGGGAGAUACGGGAAGCUGGCAUUUCUGAGAUGAAAGAAGUGGGCCCUGCCAUUGAACAGAAUUUAUGCAUUUAAAUAUUCAUCAUUUCUGUGAAAAAGAGAAGAAAAUGAGCCUGCAUGGCAUAGUGAGUCUGCAACUGUGAACUCGGGAAAUCCUGUACCUUCCCGUGCAGUCGCUCCCCAGCCAUGCAGGUAUUUCCAGAGCCUGGAGAUCCCAGACUACCUUUCAAAAGAAUGAAUUCCAGACCCAGAGAGUCCCCUGGAGGAGAUUCAUGGCAAGCAGCCGUACGAAAUAACAGAAGCCCCAGAGAGGGGAAGCAAUUUC